CGAAAACGAAUUCUCUCUUGAGUGGAUCCUGAGUACGACGGAGCACGUGAAAUUCCGUCGGAAUCUGGGAGGACCAUCUCCUAAGGCUAAAUACUCUCUAGUGACCGAUAGUGAACCAGUACCGUGAGGGAAAGGUGAAAAGUACCCCGGAAGGGGAGUGAAAGAGAACUUGAAACCGUGUGCUUACAAGUAGUCAGAGCCCGUUAAUGGGUGAUGGCGUGCCUUUUGUAGAAUGAACCGGCGAGUUACGAUCUGAUGCAAGGUUAAGCAGAAAAUGUGGAGCCGUAGCGAAAGCGAGUCUGAAUAGGGCGAAUGAGUAUUUGGUCGUAGACCCGAAACCAGGUGAUCUACCCUUGGUCAGGUUGAAGUUCAGGUAACACUGAAUGGAGGACCGAACCGACUUACGUUGAAAAGUGAGCGGAUGAACUGAGGGUAGCGGAGAAAUUCCAAUCGAACUUGGAGAUAGCUGGUUCUCUCCGAAAUAGCUUUAGGGCUAGCCUCAAGUGAUGAUUAUUGGAGGUAGAGCACUGUUUGGACGAGGGGCCCCUCUCGGGUUACCGAAUUCAGACAAACUCCGAAUGCCAAAUAAUUUAACUUGGGAGUCAGAAUGUGGGUGAUAAGGUCCAUAUUCGAAAGGGAAACAGCCCAGACCACCAGCUAAGGUCCCAAAAUAUAUGUUAAGUGGAAAAGGAUGUGGCGUUGCCCAGACAACUAGGAUGUUGGCUUAGAAGCAGCCAUCAUUUAAAGAGUGCGUAAUAGCUCACUAGUCGAGUGACACUGCGCCGAAAAUGUACCGGGGCUAAACAUAUUACCGAAGCUGUGGAUUGUCCUUUGGACAAUGGUAGGAGAGCGUUCUAAGGGCGUUGAAGCAUGAUCGCAAGGACAUGUGGAGCGCUUAGAAGUGAGAAUGCCGGUGUGAGUAGCGAAAGACGGGUGAGAAUCCCGUCCACCGAUUGACUAAGGUUUCCAGAGGAAGGCUCGUCCGCUCUGGGUUAGUCGGGUCCUAAGCUGAGGCCGACAGGCGUAGGCGAUGGAUAACAGGUUGAUAUUCCUGUACCACCAUUAUUCGUUUUAAGCGAUGGGGGGACGCAGUAGGAUAGGCGAAGCGUGCUGUUGGAGUGCACGUCCAAGCAGUGAGAUUGAGUGUUAGGCAAAUCCGGCACUCUUAAGAUUGAGCUGUGAUGGGGAGAGGAACUUGUUCCUCGAGUCGUUGAUUUCACACUGCCGAGAAAAGCCUCUAGCUAGAAUAACGGUGCCCGUACCGCAAACCGACACAGGUAGUCAAGAUGAGAAUUCUAAGGUGAGCGAGCGAACUCUCGUUAAGGAACUCGGCAAAAUGACCCCGUAACUUCGGGAGAAGGGGUGCUCUUUGAGGUUCACGCUUCGAAGAGCCGCAGUGAAUAGGCCCAAGCGACUGUUUAUCAAAAACACAGGUCUCUGCUAAACCGUAAGGUGACGUAUAGGGGCUGACGCCUGCCCGGUGCUGGAAGGUUAAGAGGAGUGGUUAGCGCAAGCGAAGCUACGAAUCGAAGCCCCAGUAAACGGCGGCCGUAACUAUAACGGUCCUAAGGUAGCGAAAUUCCUUGUCGGGUAAGUUCCGACCCGCACGAAAGGCGUAACGAUUUGGGCACUGUCUCAACGAGAGACUCGGUGAAAUCAUAGUACCGGUGAAGAUGCCGGUUACCCGCGACAGGACGGAAAGACCCCGUGGAGCUUUACUGUAGCCUGAUAUUGAAAUUCGGUACAGUUUGUACAGGAUAGGUAGGAGCCUUAGAAGCGUGAGCGCUAGCUUACGUGGAGGCAUUGGUGGGAUACUACCCUAAUUGUAUUGGAUUUCUAACCCGCAGCACUUAUCGUGCUGGGAGACAGUGUCAGGCGGGCAGUUUGACUGGGGCGGUCGCCUCCUAAAGAGUAACGGAGGCGCUCAAAGGUUCCCUCAGAAUGGUUGGAAAUCAUUCAUAGAGUGUAAAGGCAUAAGGGAGCUUGACUGCGAGACCUACAAGUCGAGCAGGGUCGAAAGACGGACUUAGUGAUCCGGUGGUUCCGCAUGGAAGGGCCAUCGCUCAACGGAUAAAAGCUACCCCGGGGAUAACAGGCUUAUCUCCCCCAAGAGUUCACAUCGACGGGGAGGUUUGGCACCUCGAUGUCGGCUCAUCGCAUCCUGGGGCUGUAGUCGGUCCCAAGGGUUGGGCUGUUCGCCCAUUAAAGCGGUACGCGAGCUGGGUUCAGAACGUCGUGAGACAGUUCGGUCCCUAUCCGUCGUGGGCGUAGGAAAUUUGAGAGGAGCUGUCCUUAGU
rnacentral:rRNA from 1 species